UACGGAGGGAGCUAGCGUUGUUCGGAAUUACUGGGCGUAAAGCGCACGUAGGCGGCUUUGUAAGUUAGAGGUGAAAGCCCGGGGCUCAACCCCGGAAUUGCCUUUAAGACUGCAUCGCUUGAAUCCGGGAGAGGUGAGUGGAAUUCCGAGUGUAGAGGUGAAAUGCGUAGAGAUCGGCAGGAACACCCAGGGGGAAACCAGCCGACUGGGGAUGUGCUGACGCUGAGGUGCGAGAGCGUGGGGAGCGAACCGG
rnacentral:rRNA from 1 species